CAGUAGCCGCGGUAAUACGAAGGGGGCUAGCGUUGUUCGGAUUUACUGGGCGUAAAGGGCGCGUAGGCGGGCGAAUAAGUCAGGGGUGAAAUCCCAAGGCUCAACCUUGGAACUGCCUUUGAUACUGUUUGUCUUGAGUUCGAGAGAGGUAAGUGGAACUGCGAGUGUAGAGGUGAAAUUCGUAGAUAUUCGCAAGAGCACCAGUGGCGAAGGCGGCUUACUGGCUCGAAACUGACGCUGAGGCGCGAAAGCGUGGGGAGCAAACAGGAUUAGAUACCCCUGUAGUCCCUGUCUCUUAUAC
rnacentral:rRNA from 1 species